AUUGAACGCUGGCGGCAGGCCUAACACAUGCAAGUCGAGCGGAUGAAGGGAGCUUGCUCCUGGCUUCAGCGGCGGACGGGUGAGUAAUGCCUAGGAAUCUGCCUGGUAGUGGGGGAUAACGUCCGGAAACGGGCGCUAAUACCGCAUACGUCCUGAGGGAGAAAGUGGGGGAUCUUCGGACUUCACGCUAUCAGAUGAGCCUAGGUCGGAUUAGCUAGUUGGUGGGGUAAAGGCCUACCAAGGCGACGAUCCGUAACUGGUCUGAGAGGAGGAUCAGUCAACAGGGAGCGAGAGGCCGUCCCGGGACCGAACGGAGGCCGAGAUGGGGAAAUGUGGAAGAAGGGGGGAAGCCUGAACCAGGCGUGGCAGCUUGAUGAAGAAAGGCCUCGGGAUGGAAAACGGCUUUAGGUUGGAAGAAAGGGAGUAAAAUAAAAGCCGUCUGUUUUGACGGUACCAGCAGAAUAAGCACCGGCUAACUUCGUG
rnacentral:rRNA from 1 species